AACAAGGUCUCCGUUGGUGAACCAGCGGAGGGAUCAUUACCGAGUUUACAACUCCCAAACCCCUGUGAACAUACCACUUGUUGCCUCGGCGGAUCAGCCCGCUCCCGGUAAAACGGGACGGCCCGCCAGAGGACCCCUAAACUCUGUUUCUAUAUGUAACUUCUGAGUAAAACCAUAAAUAAAUCAAAACUUUCAACAACGGAUCUCUUGGUUCUGGCAUCGAUGAAGAACGCAGCAAAAUGCGAUAAGUAAUGUGAAUUGCAGAAUUCAGUGAAUCAUCGAAUCUUUGAACGCACAUUGCGCCCGCCAGUAUUCUGGCGGGCAUGCCUGUUCGAGCGUCAUUUCAACCCUCAAGCACAGCUUGGUGUUGGGACUCGCGUUAAUUCGCGUUCCCCAAAUUGAUUGGCGGUCACGUCGAGCUUCCAUAGCGUAGUAGUAAAACCCUCGUUACUGGUAAUCGUCGCGGCCACGCCGUUAAACCCCAACUUCUGAAUGUUGACCUCGGAUCAGGUAGGAAUACCCGCUGAACUUAAGCAUAUCAAAACA
rnacentral:rRNA from 1 species